AUUGAACGCUGGCGGCAUGCCUUACACAUGCCAGUCGAACGGCAGCACGGGUGCUUGCCCCUGGUGGCGAGUGGCGAACGGGUGAGUAAUACAUCGGAACAUGUCCUGUAGUGGGGGAUAGCCCGGCGAAAGCCGGAUUAAUACCGCAUACGAUCUACGGAUGAAAGCGGGGGACCUUCGGGCCUCGCGCUAUAGGGUUGGCCGAUGGCUGAUUAGCUAGUUGGUGGGGUAAAGGCCUACCAAGGCGACGAUCAGUAGCUGGUCUGAGAGGACGACCAGCCACACUGGGACUGAGACACGGCCCAGACUCCUACGGGAGGCAGCAGUGGGGAAUUUUGCACAAUGGGCGAAAGCCUGAUCCAGCAAUGCCGCGUGUGUGAAGAAGGCCUUCGGGUUGUAAAGCACUUUUGUCCGGAAAGAAAUCCUUGGCCCUAAUACGGUCGGGGGAUGACGGUACCGGAAGAAUAAGCACCGGCUAACUACGUG
rnacentral:rRNA from 1 species